AUCUGAAUAGUUUAAGUUAAAAUAUUGGCUUGUGGUGCCAAUGAUAUAGUUUUUUGUUUUAGAUU
rnacentral:tRNA from 1 species